AUGGGGCGCACCAGGCGCGAAAACUUCACACUGCGCGAAAGCGCGAUGAGGGAAUCCCAUGUGCUUGCACGUUAGUGUAAGCUGUUUCUAUGUUUAAAUUGCAUAGAGAGUAAGGGCUGGGUAAGACGGGUGCCAGCCGCCGCGGUAAUACCUGCAGCUCAAGUGGUGGCCGUUAUUAUUGGGCCUAAAACGUCCGUAGCCGGUCUAUUAAAUGCCCGGGUAAAUCGAACCGCUCAACGGUUCGAAUUCCGGGUAGACUGAUAUACUUGAGACCGGGAGAAGCUAGAGGUACUCCUGGGGUAGAGGUGAAAUUCUGUAAUCCUAGGGGGACCACCAGUGGCGAAGGCGUCUAGCUAGAACGGGUCUGACGGUGAGGGACGAAGCCCAGGGGCGCAAACCGGAUUAGAUACCCGGGUAGUCCUGGGUGUAAACGCUGCUUGCUUGAUGUUAGUUGGGCUCCGAGCCCAAUUAGUGUCGGAGAGAAGUUGUUAAGCAAGCUGCCUGGGAAGUACGAUCGCAAGAUUGAAACUUAUAGGAAUUGGCGGGGGAGCAC
rnacentral:rRNA from 1 species